AACGAACGCUGGCGGCAUGCCUAACACAUGCAAGUCGAACGCGUGGCGCAAGCCACGAGUGGCGCACGGGUGAGUAACGCGUGGGAACCUGCCCUGGCGUGGGGGAUAACCCGGCGAAAGCCGGGCUAAUACCGCAUACGUCCUUCGGGAGAAAGAGUUAUCGCUCGAGGAGGGGCCCGCGUCGGAUUAGCUAGUUGGGGGGGUAACGGCCCACCAAGGCGAUGAUCCGUAGCUGGUCUGAGAGGAUGAUCAGCCACACUGGGACUGAGACACGGCCCAGACUCCUACGGGAGGCAGCAGUGGGGAAUAUUGGACAAUGGGCGCAAGCCUGAUCCAGCAAUGCCGCGUGCAGGAAGAAGGCCUUCGGGUUGUAAACUGCUUUUGUACGGAACGAAACGGUCUGGGUUAAUACCCCGGGCUAAUGACGGUACCGUAAGAAUAAGCACCGGCUAAC
rnacentral:rRNA from 1 species